CCGCAGCCAUGGGAGUACAGUGAUGGAACGCAGUUCUAGACCUGUGCUGGGGGUCAAACCCAUGUUGAACAUGCUGGACACAGAGAUCCAUUGCCAGCCCUUACCGUCUGCCUUUUAAAAAAAACUUUCAUAUUGAUCUCCGUGGGAUGCACAUUUACAUUCUCGCCAGCAGCUUCUUACCCUGGACUUUCACUGGCAUUUGUUGUAAUUUUGUUGUUUUGGUGACAGAACUUGCAGAAAAACCUCCUGCGGAUCUGUAACCAAUGGCUGGGUGUGAGCAGUGGCCCACGACUCUUCACGACACUGCUAUGCUCCUCCUUCCUCACAUGUCACAUGUACCCUUCUUAUCUGCUGCCAACCUGUACUGGGCUUCAAUAUUAUUGUCAUCAUUUGUUUAAUCUACAUCGUCAAGGAGUGCAUAUUAUUAUAUGCAUUCACA